GGAACAGGAGGUUAAAGGUGCUGAUUCUCCAAGGAGGGAGAUUGCUAGUAAAGCGGCUGGAAUGGCGAACCCGAGCACAAGGAGAUGAGAAAUGACGACAAAUUGCAACCUGUAUGGAACAGGAGGGUAAAGGUGCUGAUUCUCCAAGGAGGGAGAUUGCUAGUAAAGCGGCUGGAAUGGCGAACCCGAGCACAAGGAGAUGAGAAAUGAGGACAAAUUGCCACCUGUACGGAACAGGAGGUUAAAGGUGCUGAUUCUCCAAGGAGGGAGAUUGCUAGUAAAGCGGCUGGAAUGGCGAACCCGAGGACAAGGAGAUGAGAAAUGAGGACAAAUUGCCACCUGUACGGAACAGGAGGUUAAAGGUGCUGAUUCUCCAAGGAGGGAG